CCCUUAGAUGUUCUGGGCCGCACGCGCGCUACACUGACGAAUGCAACGAGCUUAUAACCUUGGCCGAAAGGUCUGGGUAAUCUUUGAAACUGCAUCGUGAUGGGGCUAGAUUAUUGCAAUUAUUAAUCUUCAACGAGGAAUGCCUAGUAAGCGUGAUUCAUCAAAUCGCGUUGAUUACGUCCCUGCCCUUUGUACACACCGCCCGUCGCUCCUACCGAUUGAAUGUGUUGGUGAGGAGCUCGGAUUGGCAGCGGUUGGUGGUUCGCCACCGGCCAUUGCUGAGAAGUCCUCCAAACCGCCCCAUUUAGAGGAAGGAGAAGUCGUAACA
rnacentral:rRNA from 1 species